AUUGAACGCUGUCGGCAGGCCUAACACAUGCAAGUCGAACGGUAACAGGAAGCAGCUUGCUGCUUUGCUGACGAGUGGCGGACGGGUGAGUAAUGUCUGGGAAACUGCCCGAUGGAGGGGGAUAACUACUGGAAACGGUAGCUAAUACCGCAUAACGUCGCAAGACCAAAGAGGGGGACCUUAGGGCCUCUUGCCUUCGGAUGUGCCCAGAUGGGAUUAGCUAGUAGGUGGGGUAACGGCUCACCUAGGCGACGAUCCCUAGCUGGUCUGAGAGGAUGACCAGCCACACUGGAACUGAGACACGGUCCAGACUCCUACGGGAGGCAGCAGUGGGGAAUAUUGCACAAUGGGCGCAAGCCUGAUGCAGCCAUGCCGCGUGUAUGAAGAAGGCCUUCGGGUUGUAAAGUACUUUCAGCGGGGAGGAAGGGAGUAAAGUUAAUACCUUAGCUCAAUGACGUUACCCGCAGAAGAAGCACCGGCUAACUCCGUG
rnacentral:rRNA from 1 species